UAGCCUUUGUCAUACCGCUAUGGUAAGUUCCAAUUAAAAUUAAAUCACCCAAAAAUGUGGUGCAUAUUUAUUAUGUUAAAAUACCUUUUUCAUAUUGCAGUAUGAAGGUUAUUGCGUUGAAUAUUAGUACCGGGUCUAACUCAUACGGCAUAUAUGUGGUGGAUGGAAGGUGCUUUCUCUAGUAAUGACUCCGAACCAGCGUAUGCAUAUUCUUUCCUCCUUGAAAUCCUUGGUUUGGGUCUUCGGGCUUGAUGGGAAUUGUAUAUUUAUGUGGAUCCUCUAUUUGGGUCCAUAAAUUAGUAUAUUUAUGUAGCUUCACAAAAUAGAAAAUAAAUUAGUAUAUUUGUUAUCUGGGUCCUGUGUUUGGCUCCAUAAAAGAGCAGCUAAAGGAACACAAACACAACACCACCGCUGCAUUCUGAGAGUGAUAAACGUUUCUUCUUGAUGCAAACCAAGAUAAGCUGUUCUUGGAGGUUGCACCAAUGGCUUGCUAUAUUGGUACUAGGCUUGGGAGGUGCCGGAAACUCUCGUGUUGCUGGAAAGCCUCAAAGUAGACGAGGAGAAGACAAUUGUAGCAUCAGCAAAUUGCCAUGUGUAUGCCUCUGAAACUUGUAGUGGCAGAGGCACUGGCUUCCAUCGCUACCCGUGUGGUGUUCCUUCAGCAUUUCAUGACAAAUUCGUGAUUGUCAUAGCUCAUCAGUAGGUUCAGGAAGAUCUUUUUGCAAAACAGAUUGUCUUAACUAGUCCAUCAACUCGUGCUCCUGCACGGGCUAAUAUUUUUAGAAGCUAUUGUAUUUGAAAAUUAUUUAGAAAUUAAAUUCCUAACUAAUAAUUAAAAUUGUUCACCAACUAUCUUAUUUUUCAAUACUUCAACAUAAUACUUAUAUAUAUGUACCUAUUUGUGAUUAAUUUUUAAUUAAUAAUUACUCUAUGC
rnacentral:lncRNA from 1 species